GUUUUUCUCCUGGUGUUCACUGCCGGCCUGUAUGUCCUAUUGAGGUUUUCAUAAGGCACGCGGUGAAUGCCAAGAGCGGACGA
rnacentral:pre_miRNA from 14 species